rnacentral:rRNA from 1 species
AACUAACGCUGGCGGCGCGCCUAAUACAUGCAAGUCGAACGAUGUAGCAAUACAUAGUGGCGCACGGGAGAGUAACACGUGGAUAAUCUCCCCUCGAGAGAGGAAUAACUAGUCGAAAGAUUGGCUAAUACUUCAUAAGACCACAGAAACUAAUGUUUCAGGGGUAAAAGUCGUAAGACGCUUGAGGAUGAGUCUGCGUCCCAUUAGCUAGUUGGUGAGGUAACGGCUCACCAAGGCGACGAUGGGUAGCUGGUCUGAGAGGAUGAUCAGCCUCACUGGAACUGACACACGGUCCAGACUCCUACGGGAGGCAGCAGUAGGGAAUAUUGCACAAUGGGCGAAAGCCUGAUGCAGCGACGCCGCGUGAGUGAUGAAGGCCUUCGGGUCGUAAAGCUCUGUCGUAUGGGACUAACACAAUGAAGGUACCAUGCAAGAAAGGAUCGGCUAACUUCGUGCCAGCAGCCGCGGUAAU